GAUGAACGCUGGCGGCGUGCUUAACACAUGCAAGUCGAACGGAAAGGCUCCUGCUUGCAGGGGUACUCGAGUGGCGAACGGGUGAGUAACACGUGGGUGAUCUGCCCUGCACUUCGGGAUAAGCCUGGGAAACUGGGUCUAAUACCGGAUAGGACGAUGGUUUGGAUGCCAUUGUGGAAAGUUUUUCGGUGUGGGAUGAGCUCGCGGCCUAUCAGCUUGUUGGUGGGGUAAUGGCCUACCAAGGCGUCGACGGGUAGCCGGCCUGAGAGGGUGUACGGCCACAUUGGGACUGAGAUACGGCCCAGACUCCUACGGGAGGCAGCAGUGGGGAAUAUUGCACAAUGGGCGCAAGCCUGAUGCAGCGACGCCGCGUGGGGGAUGACGGCCUUCGGGUUGUAAACUCCUUUCGCUGGGGACGAAGCGCAAGUGACGGUACCUGGAGAAGAAGCACCGGCUAACUACGUG
rnacentral:rRNA from 1 species